rnacentral:lncRNA from 1 species
UCUGGGAAAAUUUUUAAAGUAAUAUAUAGUAUGUAUAGUGAUGUUAAAUCUUGCGUAAGGAAUGGGAACGAAGUGUCAGCCGUUUUUAACUGUAACAUCGGAGUGAGACAGGGAGAAAACUUAUCCCCCUUUUUAUUUGCUGUUUAUCUAAACGAUCUGGAGUCUUUCUUUGCCGGAAAUUAUGUUCAGAACUUGCAAGUUAUCGAAAAUAUUUGCCACAAUCAUUUGCAUAUAUAUAUUAAACUUUUCGUUCUUUUG